rnacentral:rRNA from 1 species
UACCAGCACCCCGAGUGGUCGGGACGUUUAUUGGGCCUAAAGCAUCCGUAGCCGGUUCUACAAGUCUUCCGUUAAAUCCAACUGCUUAACAGGUGGGCUGCGGAAGAUACUAUAGAGCUAGGAGGCGGGAGAGGCAAGCGGUACUCGAUGGGUAGGGGUAAAAUCCGUUGAUCCAUUGAAGACCACCAGUGGCGAAGGCGGCUUGCCAGAACGCGCUCGACGGUGAGGGAUGAAAGCUGGGGGAGCAAACCGGAUUAGAUGACCCCUGA